rnacentral:rRNA from 1 species
AUUGAACGCUGGCGGCAGGCUUAACACAUGCAAGUCGAACGAUGAUUAUCUAGCUUGCUAGAUAUGAUUAGUGGCGGACGGGUGAGUAACAUUUAGGAAUCUGCCUAGUAGUGGGGGAUAGCUCGGGGAAACUCGAAUUAAUACCGCAUACGACCUACGGGUGAAAGGGGGCGCAAGCUCUUGCUAUUAGAUGAGCCUAAAUCAGAUUAGCUAGUUGGUGGGGUAAAGGCCCACCAAGGCGACGAUCUGUAACUGGUCUGAGAGGAUGAUCAGUCACACCGGAACUGAGACACAGUCCGGACUCCUACGGGAGGCAGCAGUGGGGAAUAUUGGACAAUGGGGGCAACCCUGAUCCAGCCAUGCCGCGUGUGUGAAGAAGGCCUUUUGGUUGUAAAGCACUUUAAGCAGGGAGGAGAGGCUAAUGGUUAAUACCCAUUAGAUUAGACGUUACCUGCAGAAUAAGCACCGGCUAACUCUGUGCCAGCAGCCGCGGUAAUACAGAGGGUGCGAGCGUUAAUCGGAAUUACUGGGCGUAAAGCGAGUGUAGGUGGCUCAUUAAGUCACAUGUGAAAUCCCCGGGCUUAACCUGGGAACUGCAUGUGAUACUGGUGGUGCUAGAAUAUGUGAGAGGGAAGUAGAAUUCCAGGUGUAGCGGUGAAAUGCGUAGAGAUCUGGAGGAAUACCGAUGGCGAAGGCAGCUUCCUGGCAUAAUAUUGACACUGAGAUUCGAAAGCGUGGGUAGCAAACAGGAUUAGAUACCCUGGUAGUCCACGCCGUAAACGAUGUCUACUAGCCGUUGGGGUCCUUGAGACUUUAGUGGCGCAGUUAACGCGAUAAGUAGACCGCCUGGGGAGUACGGCCGCAAGGUUAAAACUCAAAUGAAUUGACGGGGGCCCGCACAAGCGGUGGAGCAUGUGGUUUAAUUCGAUGCAACGCGAAGAACCUUACCUGGUCUUGACAUAGUGAGAAUCCUGCAGAGAUGCGGGAGUGCCUUCGGGAAUUCACAUACAGGUGCUGCAUGGCUGUCGUCAGCUCGUGUCGUGAGAUGUUGGGUUAAGUCCCGCAACGAGCGCAACCCUUUUCCUUAUUUGCCAGCGGGUUAAGCCGGGAACUUUAAGGAUACUGCCAGUGACAAACUGGAGGAAGGCGGGGACGACGUCAAGUCAUCAUGGCCCUUACGACCAGGGCUACACACGUGCUACAAUGGUAGGUACAGAGGGUUGCUACACAGCGAUGUGAUGCUAAUCUCAAAAAGCCUAUCGUAGUCCGGAUUGGAGUCUGCAACUCGACUCCAUGAAGUCGGAAUCGCUAGUAAUCGCAGAUCGGAAUGCUGCGGUGAAUACCUUCCCGGGCCU